CCUGAUCCCUGAUCAGAGAGAAGACGAUGAGUAUGAGGAGGUUUCCCUGGUCAGACAGAAGACAAUGAGUAUGAGGAGGUUUCCCUGGUCAGACAGAAGACAAUGAGUAUGAGGAGGUUUCCCUGGUCAGACAGAAGACAAUGAGUAUGAGGAGGUUUCCCUGGCCAGACAGAAGACAAUGAGUAUGAGGAGGUUUCCCUGAUCCCUGGUCAGACAGAAGACAAUGAGUAUGAGGUAGGUUUCCCUGAUCAGACAGAAGACAAUGAGUAUGAGGAGGUUUCCCUGAUCCCUGAUCAGAGAGAAGACAAUGAGUUUGAGGUAGGUUUCCCUGAUCAGAGAGAAGACAAUGAGUAUGAGGAGGUUUCCCUGGUCAGACAGAAGACAAUGAGUAUGAGGAGGUUUCCCUGGUCAGACAGAAGACAAUGAGUAUGAGGAGGUUUCCCUGGUCAUGAG